CUCUCUUCCUCUCCCUCUCACUCAAAAAAUGAAGAACAAUAACAAUAACAACACAAAGCUGAUCCUUCUUCAUCCUUACAUCCAGAAACAAGGAGGCUCCAAUCGAUUAUGGCUCCUUGCCUUUGUAUCAUUCUUCACCAUCGCUUUCCUUCUUACACUAAUCUACACGAGAGAGACUUUACCUAUAAAAACCAUCACCACCACCAUGGCCACUGGCUCCGCUUCUAGCUCCACCUUUGGCAAUAAUGCUCCACUGCCAACAACAGUAAUCAAUACUCUCCUCCACUAUGCCUCGAGAUCCAAUGACAGUUUCCAUAUGUCCCAUGCCGAAAUCAAGCCAAUAUCUGAUGUACUUAGAAAGUGUUCAUCUCCUUGUAACUUUCUUGUUUUUGGUCUAACACACGAGACACCUCUUUGGAAAGCUCUUAACCACAACGGCCGCACCGUUUUCAUCGAAGAAAACCGCUACUACGCAGCUUAUUAUGAAGAGUUGCAUCCUGAAAUUGAUGUCUUUGAUGUCCAAUACACAACCAAGAUGAAAGAAAUGAGAGAGCUUAUUGCCUCCACCAAGGAGCAAAUAAAAAAUGAAUGCAGGCCAGUGCAGAAUUUACUCUUCUCAGAGUGUAAGCUUGGGAUUAAUGACUUGCCUAAUCAUGUUUACGAGGUUGACUGGGAUGUGAUAUUGAUCGAUGGGCCUAGAGGGGAUGGACCAGAGGGGCCGGGGAGGAUGACACCAAUCUUCACAUCUGGUGUGCUAGCUAGGAGCAAGAAGGCUAGCAAUGCUAAGACUCACAUAUUCGUGCAUGAUUACUACAGAAAUGUGGAGAGAAUUUAUGGUGAUGAGUUCUUGUGCAGAGAGAACCUGGUGGAGUCUAAUGACAUGCUUGCUCAUUUUGUGGUAGAGAAAAUGGAUGAGAAUAGCUUCCAGUUCUGUCGCAACCAUACAGCAGCUUCUUCUCCCUAAUUGUUUCGAGUAUCCUCUUGAUCAU
rnacentral:lncRNA from 1 species